rnacentral:lncRNA from 1 species
CCCAGAACACUCCGCGAAGGUGUUCCUGAACUUCAUUUCCCAGAGGCUUUAGCUAACGUGUACUUUCGCCCUGCGAUGGGCCGCACAUUUUCGCCGCCAGUCUUUUGCUCCUGUUUCAGGCAAAACUUGGAAGCAGCCAGAUGUCCUUCAGUACAUGAAUGAAUACAUAAACUAUGGUACAUUCAGACAAUGGAACAUUCAGUAAGGAAAAGAAAUGAGCUAUCAAGCUACCAAAAAGGAAGAACAGAAGAAUAUUAAGUGCGUAUUGGUGAGUGAAAGAAGUCAAUCUGGAAAAGGCUAUAUACUGUAUAAUUCCAUCUACAUAACAUUCCUGAAAAGGCUAAUCUAUGGAAACAGCAAAGAUUGGUGGUUGCCAGGGGCUUAGGGGGAGGGAAAAAGGGAAGAAUAAGUGACAUUCAGUGGAUUUUAAGAGGGAAGAAUAAGUGACGUUCAGUGGAUUUUAAGAGGGAAGAAUAAGUGACGUUCAGUGGAUUUUUAAGGCAGUGAAACUAUUCUGUAUGAUAUUGUAAUGGCGAAUACAUGUUGUUAUACAUUUGUUAAAACCCAUAGAAUAUACAGCACAAAGAGUGAACCGUAAUAUAAACUAUGGUCUUUAGUUAAUAAUAAUUUAUCAACAUUGGCUCAUCAAUUUUAACAGAUGUACCACACUAGUGCAAGAUGUUAAUAAUAGAGAAACUGGGGGAGGAGGGGAGAAGGAAGGAGUAUACUGAAACUCUACUUUCUGCUCAAUUUUUCUAUAAACCUAAAACUGUUCCCAAAAUGUUCUAUUAAAUUUAAAAUAUAAGAAUGUUAAAUAUGCUUAUGGUAAGGUCUCAGAAGGAAAUUAAUGACAUGCAAUUAGAAACUGAAGGAAUGGUUAUCUUGUUAUAAAGUGGGAGAGCCUUGGCUGAAUUGUAUUCUAUAUUUGGGUGGAAAACAGAAUUUGUACAUGAUGAACUUGAAUAUUUAGUUAAGAAGACUUCCAAGUAAAAUGUGGAAUGUGCAACCUGGUUAGUUAUUGCUGCUUAUGGUGAAAUGCAUGAGGAAAGAAAUAAACUGAGGAAGGAACUAUUCAGCACAAAGGAACCAGCACUCAUGAUUUGGAAAACUUUUAGCCAUACCUUAUACAAAUGAGGCUUUCAAUACAUGUUGAGGACACAGAAAGAUAUAAUUUUUGUCUUCAGUGACUUCUCUAUAUGUUGCACAAAGUGGCCUCCAACUCCUGACCUCAAGCAAUCCUCCCACCUCGGCCUUCCUAAAUGCUGGGGUUACAGUCCAUAAGCCACUGAACCCAGCCCUCAGAAACCUUUUGUGCUUAAAAAAACACCUCAGCAAAAUACAAAGCAACUAGUGAUAUAUUUGAACUGAAAUUACUAAUCAACUUUGGCUUGUUUUACUGUAACAAUGACUAGGGACUGGCCACAGCUGCAAUCUUACUUGUUUUACUGGGCUGAAAACAAAAACAUAGUAGAAUGGAUCUCAGUAAAGGUAGAGAGUCAGGACUUAGUUGCAGGAAACAAAAACCAGUCCAGUUUCUACUUUAGCCCUAAAUUGGAAACAAAUCAAAUGUCCUUCUAUACUUAAAAAGGCAAAUUGUCAGUUUUUCUUCAAAUACAAGGAAUACAAAGAAAAUACAUUUUUUUUCUACAAAGAAAAAAAAGUUAGCUAGGAGUGGUGGUGCAUGCUUCUAUUCCUAGCUACUCUGGAGGCUGAGGCAGAAGGAUGGCUUGUGCCCAAGAGUUCAGGUUACAGUAAGCUAUGAUGGUGCCACUGCACUCCAGUCUGUGUGAUAGAGUAAGACCCUGAUUCUAAAAUUUUUUUAAAUUUCUUAAAAGAGAUUUGAUAUUUCUUUGGUAUCUAACUUUAUUCAAAGCUGGAGUUGCAAAUGAUUUCAGCAAAAAAAAAUAAAGAUGUGCUUGAUAAAAAUAUGUCCACCAAAUAAAAAGGAUGUGAUAUGCAUUAACUAU